GACGAACGCUGGCGGCGUGCUUAACACAUGCAAGUCGAACGGAAAGGCCCUGCUUUUGUGGGGCUCUCGAGUGGCGAACGGGUGAGUAACACGUGAGUAACCUGCCCUUGACUUUGUGAUAACUUCUGGAAACUGGGUCUAAUACCGGAUAUGAGCUCCUGCUGCAUGGUGGUGGUUGGAAAGUUUCGGCGGUUGGGGCUGGACUCGCGGCUUAUCAGCUUGUUUGUGGGGUAGUGGCUUACCAAGGCUUUGACGGGUAGCCGGCCUGAGAGGGUGAACGGGCACAUUGGGCCUGAGAUACGGCCCAGACUCCUACGGGCGGCAGCAGUGGGGAAUAUUGCACAAUGGGCGGAAGCCUGAUGCAGCAACGCCGCGUGCGGGAUGACGGCCUUCGGGUUGUAAACCGCUUUCGCCUGUGACGAAGCGUGAGUGACGGUAAUGGGUAAAGAAGCACCGGCUAACUACGUG
rnacentral:rRNA from 1 species